GCCCCACCACCGUUCGGGGACAUCCGAUAAAAAUUGAAUGAUACAGAGAAGAUUAGCAUGGCCCCUGUGCAAGGAUGACAACUUGGUAUCAGAGCAUUAGGUUCACUUA
rfam:Nicotiana attenuata strain TT chromosome 6, whole genome shotgun sequence.